UUAGUAAGAGUCUUAAUGUGCCAAAUG
rnacentral:piRNA from 1 species